rnacentral:rRNA from 1 species
UCCGCAAUGGGCGAAAGCCUGACGGAGCAAUACCGCGUGAGGGAGGAAGGCUCUUGGGUUGUAAACCUCUUUUCUCAGGGAAUAAUUCUGACGGUACCUGAGGAAUAAGCAUCGGCUAACUCCGUGCCAGCAGCCGCGGUAAUACGGAGGAUGCAAGCGUUAUCCGGAAUGAUUGGGCGUAAAGCGUCCGCAGGUGGUGUUGUAAGUCUGUUGUUAAAGCGUGCGGCUUAACCGCAUAAAGGCGAUGGAAACUACAAGACUAGAGUGCGUUAGGGGUAGAGGGAAUUCCCGGUGUAGCGGUGAAAUGCGUAGAGAUCAGGAAGAACACCAGUGGCGAAAGCGCUCUACUAUGCCGCAACUGACACUGAGGGACGAAAGCUAGGGGAGCGAAUGGGAUUAGAUACCCC